rnacentral:rRNA from 1 species
AGAGCGAACGCUGGCGGCAGGCCUAACACAUGCAAGUCGAGCGCCGUAGCAAUACGGAGCGGCAGACGGGAGAGUAACACGUGGGAACGUGCCCUUUGGUUCGGAACAACACAGGGAAACUUGUGCUAAUACCGGAUAAGCCCUUACGGGGAAAGAUUUAUCGCCAAAGGAUCGGCCCGCGUCUGAUUAGCUAGUUGGUGAGGUAACGGCUCACCAAGGCGACGAUCAGUAGCUGGUCUGAGAGGAUGAUCAGCCUCACUGGGACUGAGACACGGCCCAGACUCCUACGGGAGGCAGCAGUGGGGAAUAUUGGACAAUGGGCGCAAGCCUGAUCCAGCCAUGCCGCGUGGAUGAUGAAGGCCCUAGGGUUGUAAAGUCCUUUCGGCGGGGAAGAUAAUGACGGUACCGCAGAAGAAGCCCCGGCUAACUUCGUGCCAGCAGCCGC